AAUUUAGUGACAGAUCUUGGGUUUGGUGUGCUUCAAAACUAUAUUGACCGAAGUUUUGGAAAAAUGUAGCCAACUUUUGAAGGAUUUUAUUAGGUCCAGUUCACAUGAGACUGGAACGAAGUCAAUUAACCGGGACCAUUUCGUUUUGGUCAUUAUAUUAUAUAUAAUAGAUGUUUACACGAGGUCUCAAGUCAUUCCGCCUGCUGGGCCAAGCCGACUGAGUCAGACCAGUAUGAAUUCAGACUGGAAUGAAUGUUGACAUUGGAACAAGUGAACAACACAUGCUAACAAAAGUCAUCUAAAAAAGAAAAUUGCCUGGCAAGGGGAAUAAAUUGAAAAUUUUGUGAUUUUCAUUCUGGUCUCAUGUAAACAUGUUGACAUGCAAUUUCAAUUUUCAUUCCAGGUUGGUUUCAUCCUGGUCUCAUGUAAAUGGGGCCUUACAAACUGUGAUUCAGUAUCAUGGGAUGGGAUUAGGGGCCUGUUUAUAUGAUCCCGGCCAGGCGGGACGGGAUGCUUACCGAGAUC